rnacentral:rRNA from 1 species
AAAGUUACAUAAGCGCACACAACGAAUGCCUUGACGCAAUUUACCGAUAAAGGACGUAAUAGGCUGCGAUAAGCCUCGGGGAGCUGCCCUUCAGCUUUGAACCGAGGAUUUCCGAAUGGGGAAACCCGGCUAGAGUCAUGUCUAGUCACUCUUAUCUGAAUAUAUAGGAUAGGUAGAGGUAACCGCCCGAACUGAAACAUCUAAGUAGGGCGAGGAAAAGAAAGUAAACAACGAUUCCGGGAGUAGUGGCGAGCGAAACUGGAAUAGCCCAAACCUAGUAAACUUUCAUUUAGUAAUAAAUGAAUAAGUUGGUAGACGAAUGUUUAAUAGGGGUUGUGACGUUGUAAAUAACCAGUACAGAGUAUUGAAUUUAUUCAGUAUUCUGUAGUGGGAACCGAGGCUACCAUUCCUCGGUGUAAGGAGUAGAAAAAGUGGCAAUGCAAGCAGAAGGAACUGGAAAGUUCCGCCAAAGACGGUGAUAGCCCGGUAUGCCAAGUAUUGCUAACCUUAUUUUUACAAUAGUCGAGUAGGACGGGGCACGAGAAACCCUGUUUGAAUCCGGGACGACCACGUUCCAAGGCUAAAUAUAAAUUGCGAUCGAUAGUGAACUAGUACCGCGAGGGAAAGGUUAAAAGAACCCCGGAAGGGGAGUGAAAUAGAUUCUGAAAUUGUGUGCGUACAAGGACUCGGAGGGCUUCGGCCUGACGGGGUGCUUUUUGUAGAACGAUCCAACGAGUUAAUUGUUAGUGCAGCCUAAGGCAAUUGCCGGAGGCACAGUGAAAGCGAGGCUGAAUAGGCCGCCAUUGUACUAAUGAUUAGACCCGAAACCAGGUGACCUUACCAUGAGCAGGAUGAAGCAGCGGUAAAACGCUGUGGAGGUCCGAACCGUAGCGAGUUGCAACACGCCCGGAUGACUUGUGGUAAGCGGUGAAAUGCCAAUCGAACCUGGAGAUAGCUGGUUCUCCUCGAAAUAGCUUUAGGGCUAGCGUCGUACGGUAACAUGCAGGGGUAGAGCUCUGAUUCGGACUGCGGCCAGUAAUGGUACGCACCCUUGUCAAACUACGAAUACUGCAUGCGGAACUACGGCAGUCAGAACGGCGGGGCUAAGCUCGUCGCUCAAAAGGGAAACAGCCCAGACCAUCAGCUAAGGUCCCUAAAUAUACACUCAGUGGGAAACGAGGUGAGAUUUCUUAAACAAUGAGGAUGUUGGCUUAGAAGCAGCCAUUCAUUUAAAGAGUGCGUAACAGCUCACUCAUCAAGAGAUCUUGCGCGGAAAAUGUAACGGGGCUAAAGUGUAUUACCGAAGCUAUGGGUUCGUAUUUAUACGAGCGGUAGAGGAGCGUUCCUAUUGCGCUGAAGUUGAACCGCGAGGUUUGGUGGAGCGGUAGGAAGUGAGAAUGUUGGAAUGAGUAACCAUAAGGCAGGUGAGAAUCCUGCCCACCGAAAGAGCAAGGUUUCCUGGGCCACGAUAAUCGUCCCAGGGUUAGUCGGUCCUAAGCCGAGGCGCGUAGCGUAGGCGAUGGACAACGGGUUAAUAUUCCCGUAC